GUUCACACUGCACGUGCCGUUAAUAUGACGUCAUGUAAUGAUACAUGUGUUCAUUAUAAUCAUGAUUGCAUCAUUCCAUGAGCUCCGAGUCCUUCGGGAUGAACACGUGACGUGUUGUUGUCUGACGGAACUCAGCCGCGUCCGGACGCGUUCUCUAGAUUAUAGUUAAUGACACAUAAACAUGUUUCGACCUCAGCCAGUAAAACAAAUAAACACAUGUGACUUACUUUGCUUACUAAAGAGGACAUUUUUUUAUUUUAAAAAUACCUGAUUGACGGCAUUGUAUUUCGACUCCCUGGCUGUGUCUACUACCGCGCACUUAACGAAGUACUUAACGAAGUGCACUGCAAUUCAGUGCACUGCAUUGCAGUGUACUGCGUCGCUGAUGAAGUGCUGUCUCAAAUGGAACACUUAACCGUUAACCACUUGGCGGAAGUGACGGACGCAAAUCUGUUCACGGCACCCGCGAAAUUAAGCCGGGAGUGACGUAUGCAAAUCUGCUUGCGAUACCCAAACCCUUAAACUGACAAAAUGAAUGCACUUCUUGCCCUCUUUGUGUCCCUUGUUUACCCCUUUCUCCACCCCAUGUGGAAACUGCGAUACCUCCACCAUCGCGGCAGGAGCCUCCGCCUUCUGGCUGAAGUCGAGAUGCCACCCAGUCCCAGGCGGCGCUGCCGUAUCAAUGCUGCAAUGCCACUGCUGGCGUUGUGUUGUGAUGGCCACAGUGACAUGAGGGUGGACUUCAGGCUCACCGAGUCAUUCAACGCCCUCAUGGCUGUGCUGGGCACUGACUGACCACGGUUGGGGCCCCGAGAUCUCCGGGCUCAGUGCAUGAUGCCAGGGUCCUGAAUAACAGCCCCAUCUUCUAUGAGCAGUCAUCCCCUCCACCAGGAUACUGUAUCCUUGGGGAUGGUGGCUCCCCCUGCCUGUCCCAACCCAUCUGCCUCAUGACCCCCUUCAGGCAGCCUGUCCACCUCCAAGCUACAACUGCUGCCUGUCAAAGGCGAGGUGUGUUGUGGAGAGGUCCUUCGGGAUACUGAAGACGCGAUGGCGGUCCAUCUUCUUCAAGGCCCUGGAGGUGGAUGUGAGGUGCCAGAGGUCAUUGGAGCCAGAUGUCGGGAGGGCAGCAGAGGACCAGCACCAGCACCUCCAGGAAACGUCUCUGGGGCAGGAAACAGAAAGAGGAUAGCCAUUCAGUGCUCUGUCCCAGACCACGAUUACAUUUAAAUUAAUACAUACACGACAUUAAAAAAACAACACACAA